UACGUAGGGUGCAAGCGUUAAUCGGAAUUACUGGGCGUAAAGCGUGCGCAGGCGGUUGUGCAAGACCGAUGUGAAAUCCCCGGGCUUAACCUGGGAAUGGCAUUGGUGACUGUACGGCUAGAGUGUGUCAGAGGGGGGUAGAAUUCCACGUGUAGCAGUGAAAUGCGUAGAGAUGUGGAGGAAUACCGAUGGCGAAGGCAGCCCCCUGGGAUAACACUGACGCUCAUGCACGAAAGCGUGAGGAGCAAACAGG
rnacentral:rRNA from 1 species